AACACUACUAGUCGAACAAUACCCUAUACCUUGUGCAGUUGUGUGAGUGCAGCCUGUUGAAAUCCUUGCUUAGUAUAUACUAAGUUGAUCUUCAGUAUAUGAAGGCUGUGAUCCGGACUCCAUUUCAGAAGAUGAAUUCGGCCUUGGGGUACGGGAUGGACUGAGAAGAAAGAAAACAGAGGGCGAGGAACCUGAUGUGGACGUUGCUGCGGGACCUCAGAGCAGAAAGGAUGAGGUCUUGUUGAACCAGGACAGCAGCAGUGGGGAUCAAAAACGUAGAGGUGGUGCGAAAGAUGCUAUGAAGGUAGGAUCUGCGGGUCUUGCUAUCGAGUUGGAUGCGGGAGGUAGAUUAAGGAUGAGUCGGUGAUGACCAAGCGGAGCUAACAUGAAGGGCUGUGCGAAGCACCUUGCACGAAGUAACUCAUUUGAUCCUCCUUAUGACUCCACGAAGUAGUUACCAUGGGUGUCCCCAUUUUACAGGUGAGAAAACUGAUGCGCAGAGGUGAUACAACUUCUCCAAGGUUGCAUGGCUGAUAGGAGGAGUCAGAAUUUCCACCAAGUCUUGGAAGUCUUCUGACACUGCUGGCCAUGCUGUUCUCCUCAGUGCUACUUCCAGGCCUCUCACUGCCAAGUUCCCCAGCUGGAAUGACUUCUGCUGUCUGCCCAUUCGAUAAAGACUGAAUGAGUUUCUGCCGAUUGAAUUGCCCUCUGGUCCUGACUCAGAGAAGCAAAGGGAAGGUAAUCACAGUUCUGAAAACAAAUCCAUUUUAAUCACUGAAUCAAUGUGGGUAGUGAUUUGAAAACAUAGUACAACACUCUACCGUUGAAGUCAUACCCAAUUAAAAAAGAUUCCAUAUUGGUUGUUGA